rnacentral:rRNA from 1 species
UACGUAGGGUGCGAGCGUUAAUCGGAAUUACUGGGCGUAAAGCGUGCGUAGGUGGUGAGUUAAGUCUGUCGUGAAAGCCCCGGGCUCAACCUGGGAAUGGCGAUGGAUACUGGCUCGCUAGAGUGCGGUAGAGGAGAGUGGAAUUCCCGGUGUAGCAGUGAAAUGCGUAGAGAUCGGGAGGAACAUCGGUUGCGAAGGCAGCCCCCUGGGAUAACACUGACGCUCAUGUACGAAAGCGUGGGUAGCAAACAGG